CACGUAGGGUGCGAGCGUUGUCCGGAAUUAUUGGGCGUAAAGAGCUCGUAGGCGGUGUGUCGCGUCGGCCGUGAAAACCUGCAGCUUAACUGUGGGCUUGCGGUCGAUACGGGCAUCACUGGAGUUCGGCAGGGGAGACUGGAAUUCCUGGUGUAGCGGUGAAGUGCGCAGAUAUCAGGAGGAACACCGGUGGCGAAGGCGGGUCUCUGGCCCGUUACCGACGCUCAGGCGCGACAGCGUGGGGAGCAAACAGG
rnacentral:rRNA from 1 species